rnacentral:pre_miRNA from 1 species
UUUAAAUUUAUGAGUUUUCAUGUCGAAUUUUGAUCGUAUAUCUUAUUUUAAACUUUUUAUGAUUAUUAUUUUUAUUAUUAUUAGAUGAUAAAAUAUAAAUAAUACUUUAUACGUGAUUUAUGUUUUAAAUUUUUUUUAAAUAAAACAGAUGAUUAAAAUUGAACAUAAAAACACAUUAUUAUCCUUCGA